AGUGAACGCUGGCGGUAGGCCUAACACAUGCAAGUCGAACGGCAGCACAGUAAGAGCUUGCUCUUACGGGUGGCGAGUGGCGGACGGGUGAGGAAUACAUCGGAAUCUACUUUUUCGUGGGGGAUAACGUAGGGAAACUUACGCUAAUACCGCAUACGACCUACGGGUGAAAGCAGGGGAUCUUCGGACCUUGCGCGAUUGAAUGAGCCGACGUCGGAUUAGCUAGUGGGCGGGGUAAAGGCCCACCAAGGCGACGAUCCGUAGCUGGUCUGAGAGGAUGAUCAGCCGCACUGGAACUGAGACACGGUCCAGACUCCUACAGGAAGCAGCAGUGGGGAAUAUUGGACAAUGCGCGCAAGCCUGAUCCAGCCAUACCGCGUGGGUGAAGAAGGCCUUCGGGUUAUAAAGCCCUUUUGUUGGGAAAGAAAAGCAGCAGGUUAAUACCCCGCUGUUCUGACGGUACCCAAAGAAUAAGCACCGGCUAACUUCGUG
rnacentral:rRNA from 1 species